UGGGGAAUAUUGCGCAAUGGGGGGAACCCUGACGCAGCCAUGCCGCGUGAAUGAAGAAGGCCUUCGGGUUGUAAAGUUCUUUCGGUAUUGAGGAAGGUUGAUGUGUUAAUAGUACAUCAAAUUGACGUUAAAUACAGAAGAAGCACCGGCUAACUCCGUGCCAACAGCCGCGGUAAUACGGAGGGUGCGAGCGUUAAUCGGAAUAACUGGGCGUAAAGGGCACGCAGGCGGUUAUUUAAGUGAGGUGUGAAAGCCCCGGGCUUAACCUGGGAAUAGCAUUUCAGACUGGGUAACUAGAGUACUUUAGGGAGGGGUAGAAUUCCACGUGUAGCGGUGAAAUGCGUAGAGAUGUGGAGGAAUACCGAAGGCGAAGGCAGCCCCUUGGGAAUGUACUGACGCUCAUGUGCGAAAGCGUGGGGAGCAAACAGGAUUAGAUACCCUGGUAGUCCACGCUGUAAACGCUGUCGAUUUGGGGGUUGGGGUUUAACUCUGGCGCCCGUAGCUAACGUGAUAAAUCGACCGCCUGGGGAGUACGGCCGCAAGGUUA
rnacentral:rRNA from 1 species